rnacentral:rRNA from 1 species
UACGUAGGGAGCAAGCGUUGUCCGGAAUCAUUGGUCGUAAAGCGCGCGUAGGUGGCCUCAUAAGUCCGCUGUGAAAGUCAAAGGCUCAACCUUUGAAAGCCGGUGGAUACUGUGAGGCUAGAGUACGGAAGAGGCGAGUGGAAUUCCUGGUGUAGCGGUGGAAUGCGCAGAUAUCAGGAGGAACACCGGUGGCGAAGGCGGCCCCCUGGUUGGAUACUGACGCUGAGACGCGAAAGCGUGGGGAGCAAACAGG